ensembl:lncRNA
AUGUUGUCACAAUAUAUGGGAACCUGUGAGAGUUCCGCGGAGAUGGAUGAUGUAACCUGUUGUCACGGAACGAAGCGGCAGAGGUCUACGGCUGCAGGAUUUCUCCAGGGAACAUCUUGCCGUCACGCUUCACUGGAGUCUGAAGAGCGCCAGGGAAACCCUGACUGCAGGAGCGGGACGAGAGCUGAGACGAGAAAAGAGACAGAGCGUGAGGGAAUGAACGCAGCGGCGCGUGUGUGCGCGAGGCUCUGUGGGAGAGAAACAGUGGGAGGGCUGACUCUUGCGCAUUUGGAAAUUUGGCCUACAGUGCUUUAGGGAGUAGCAAAGAUGACAGAACACUCAAGAAUGACUCACAGAUGGAGAACGCACAUGAAGACGAGGGCUUGGAAAGGGGAAGCCAGCGAACAGCGUGAGCAGUGCAGUGCUGGAGCAUAUGAGGGCAAGAAGGACUCCCACACACACACACACACACACACACACACACACACACACACACACACACACACACACACACACACACACACACGUUAAGAGCAUACCAGCACUGUGUGUGCGUUAAGAAGGUUGGGUUUCUAAAUGACAGAUCAUUAUCAUGCUAAUUAAAGCAUUUUGUAGCUGUGACUCGUGCAGUAUUUGUGUGUGUGUGUGUGUCUAAUUAAGGCCGGUUCAUCAGCGCCCAGCUCAUUUACACCAUGCUAGAGCGACACCCUGAUUCAAGCACACGGACAGUAAUGAAGCUACUAAUUAUUAUGGCACUUUAACAUAUUUAGCCUUAACUGAGCCAACCCUGAACAGCUGAACCACCUCAACUGAACCAUGAACCCAACAAAGCUUCAGUAGUUCAACACAACCUAGCACAGCUGAGCCACCCAAACACAAUCCAACACAUGCAGAUAAACACGUCUACACGUCUGAACUACACCAAAACAUUUCCUUUUUUGGACUACAAAAAGGCUUUCAUGAACAAAAUGCACCCAGCAUGUCCCAAAUUCAAUUCAUCCACAAAAUGCAUGCAUUUUAUGAUAUGCUUAACAAUACACAAUGUUCUACAUUUGAAGAAGAUCAAUCUAGUUUUCAUGUUUUUUUU